UAGGGAAUCUUCCACAAUGGGCGAAAGCCUGAUGGAGCAACGCCGCGUGUGUGAUGAAGGGUUCCGGCUCGUAAAACACCGUUGUAAGGGAAGAAUGACAUUGAGAGUAACUGUUCAAUGUGUGACGGUAUCUUACCAGAAAGGAACGGCUAAAUACGUGCCAG
rnacentral:rRNA from 1 species